UACGGCCAAAAUACGUUGAAACACCGAUUCACGUAAGAUCACUGAAGUUAAGCAAUGUCGAGUCUGGUCAGUACCUAGAAGAGUGACCGCUCGAAAAUACUGGGGGCUGUAAG